rnacentral:tRNA from 1 species
GAUUACAUAGUUUAAUAAAAAUAUAAUAUUGAAGAUAUUAGGAUGUAUUUCUGUUCUAG